CACCUCUCGCUGUGGCCGCCGUCUAACUCCUCUCGCUGCUGCCGCCGUCCCCUCACCUCUCGCCGCGCUCUCCGUCCCCUCACCUCUCGCCGCGGCUGCCGCCGUCAUCUCCUGUCGCGGCCGCCUCGUCGCUGCCCCAUCUCCGACAGCGACUGCCGCCCUGCCCAAGACCCCCCCGGCACCCUGGAUCCCGCCACCGCCCGCAGCCCAGCCGACGGCGCCGCCAUCUUCCUGCACCUGAUCGAUGCCCCCAUCUACACUUGUACGCUUUUUUCAGUUGGCACCGUAGGGAUAAUACAAAAAGCAUAUCCUUCAGUUCUGUAGAUAUGUUACAACCUCAUCGAACAUGUCUCCACCGACGUUCUCGGCGCCGUCCACAACUUCAUCGUGUGAGAGCUUCUGCUCCAGAUCCUCUUCCUCCAUGGUGCCCACCCGCUGUGACGACCAUGUCUGCAACCGAAACUGAAGCAUAGUGUUCUUGGAACCAAACUGAAGCAAUGCAACGAGAAAGUACAAAAACAUGGGCUGAAGUACCUUGUCCUGAAGCUCCUAUAGCCACUUCUUUGCCUGGAUGUAGGAAUCUGAUAGAAAAAACAAGGUGUGUCCCUCUACAUAUUCAAGAGGAAAAAUUGAUUGCUGAAAAUGCUUGUGUUUAUUCGCUAUAUGUUUCUUAUUUUAAUUCAGCCCAAUAUCUAAUUUUAGUUCAGUUCAAUUAUCAUUUUGGUUUAAGUUCAAGUCAAUUCUUAUUUUAUUUUAUCGUCUUGUGCUUCCAUCCAUUCUAUGGUCUAGAGCAGCCAUCGUGGUGUUUGUGCCUUCUGACUUGUGCAGUUUGGUUUCUUGGCACACUGUCUUGUGCAUGUGUGUGGCAUUAAUCAACCGUCUAAAGGAGAACGGUGUUCUAAAUUAAAGGAGACACAAGGUCGCCUCCGGCGCUGCUGGUGGCGUGAAGGCCGUCAAAUGGUAAAUUUCCGACCCUUGUAACCUCAGGUACUACUACAAAGCAGAAAGGAUCUCUGUAAGUUAGUUAAUAGCACCAUGAUGUGCCUGUUGUGCUGCAAGACUGCUAGUUCUUCAACUAAAAAUAAAUAUACAUUUCGCUUGGCAUGCUUUC